rnacentral:rRNA from 1 species
UACGGAGGAUGCAAGCGUUAUCCGGAAUGAUUGGGCGUAAAGGGUCCAGGUGGCAAUGUAAGUCUGCUGUCAAAGAAUGAGGCUUAACCUCAUCAAGGCAGUGGAAACUACAUAGCUAGAGUACGGUCGGGGUAGAAGGAAUUCCUGGUGUAGCGGUGAAAUGCGUAGAGAUCAGGAAGAACACCGGUGGCGAAAGCGUUCUGCUAGACCUGUACUGACACUGAGGGACGAAAGCUAGGGGAGCGAAUGGG